UGGGGGUCUGAGGAGGAACCGUGGGGGUCUGGAGCCUCCCGUGUCCAUAGGGGUGUGACAGGGACCGUGGGGAUCUGGAGCCUCCCGUGUCCAUAGGGGGGUGUGACAGGGACUGUGGGGGUCUGGAGCCCUCUUGUCAGUUGGGUCUGACAAGGAUCCCGAGGGUCGAGAGAACUCCCUGUCCAUGGGGUCUGAUGGAAACAUGGGGUUCAACCAGGACCAUGAGGGUCUGGAGCUCUCCUGUCCAUUAGGUCUGCCAGGGACCACCGGAGUCUGGACCUUUCUUGAUGAUAGGGGUCUGAUGGGGACUAUGGGGGUCUGCAGCCUUCCCUGUUCAUGGGGUCUGAUGGGGACCUUGGGGAUCUCGAGCCCUGCGCCCUCUUGUCUGUGGGGGACUGACAGGGACAUUGGGGGGCUGCAGUGCUCUUGUUUGUGGGGGCUGAUAGGGAUCGUGGAGAUCUGGAGCCCUCCUGUCCAUGGGGACUACAGGGGUCUGCAACCUUCCCUGUUCUGGGGGUGUGACCAGGAGCAUGGGGUUCUGAAGGCAUCCUGUAUCCUGGGGGGUGUGACCAGGAACAUGGGGGUCUGCAGGCCUCCUGUCCAGGGUGUUUAACAGGGAUCUUGAGGAUCUGGAGCUUUUCUGACAUUGGGGUCUGACAUGGAACACGGGGGUCUGGAGCCCUCCUGCUCAGGGGAGUCUCAUGGGGACCAUUGAGGUUUGGAACCUUCCUGUCUAUGGGAUCUGACCAGGACUGUGGGGUUCUGGAGUCCUCUUGUCCACAGGGGUCUGACAGGGACCAUGGGGAUCUGGAGCCCUCCCUGUUUGUGGGGUCUGACAGGAACCGUGGGGGUCUGGAACUCUCUCUGUCCACAGGAGUCUGAUGGGGGGAACAUGGGGGUCUGGAGCCCUCCUGUCCAGGGUAUUUGACAGGGAUACUGAGACUCUGGAGCCCUCCCUGUCCAUGGGGUCUGACAGGGGACAGUGGGGCCUCUGGAACCCUCCCUGUCCAUAGGGUCUGACAGGGGACAGUGGGGGUCUGGAGCCCUCCUGCUCCAGGGGGUCUGACUGCACCUGGGUCUGGCUACCAGCCCAGGGGGCCUGAAGCACCCCUGCCCAGGGGAGGUGGCCAGGACCCUCUUGCCGUAGCCUUUCUCACCGUGAGCGUCCAUUCUGCCCCGGCCCCAUUAAACCUCCUGAAGGGCCUGUCCCUGGCUCUCGGCUCUGUCAUGGCCGAGCCGUGACAGCCUGUCCGUGGCUGGCUCUGGCCUCCGGAGAGGGAGGUGUUUCUCUCCCGAGAAGAGCUGUUUAUGCCCAGUGAUUUUUUUUUUUUUUUUGUUAUUUUUUUAUUUUUUUUUCACCUCCCUCCAUGGUCUCCUGCACAAGCCACAGCAGCAGCUCCAUGUCUGCCCAGCCUGGCAGUGCUCUGGCACGACUCUUUAUGUAGGUGAAGCAGGGAACGCUGUGAGGAUCGUGUUGAGCUAUCAGUCUCCUGAGCCUGGAGCUUUGAGCCUAUUUAUAGGUAGGUUGGGCAGUCUUCAGCAUGAAGGACUCGUGCCACGUCCGAAUCCGUGGCAAAACGGGGUGUUUUAAGUGGUGCUGUUUUGUUUUCCGUGGCUGUUCCUAGAAAAAAUUGGGUUUUACGGAACGCUCCGGGGGACUGGUUGUUAGUAGGUUACGUGGAGAAAGGCGAGUCAGUUUGGAGUCAAGGAACGUGAUGCCAUUUUAAUGCAACUUCUCGGGUGGCAGAGCAAACAGUAAGAGGAUACUUGGUUCUAGAUCAGCAGCUUUCAGCCUGCAGGCGGUGGGACAACUCACCCAGGGGUCUGUGGGAAGCCAUGGAGGAAAGGACAUCUGUCUUCUGUAGGCUUGCAUUCGUUAUACAGAUUUCUGCACUGCUAAAGAUUUUGUGGCCGACCAGCUGAAAAAAAAAAAUAUGGAAGUCGGCUUUUCUAGAUCACUAACAUGUUUUGGUUUAGAGUAAGUGGAGGAGGAGUGGAAAAAAACCUGUGUGUUUGGUUGUGUGUGUUUCUACUGUGCUGCUUCAAAAUUCAGAAAUUCAGUGUAUUUUUAAGAAUUACAUAACCACUAAUAACGUGGUGACUCUCAAGUAGCCCUCAAGAGUUAAAUAACAGCAGAUCAACGAGGCUGGGUCAAGAAGAGGAAGAGAGGGUUUUAUAACGAAUGGUGAGCACCGUGCACAGAUAUUUAAAAUUGCACUAGAAAGGAGCCUUUGGGUAGGAGGAGGAUUUUAAUGCCCUACAAAUAUGGAACAUGAGAAGGAGGAUGGAAAGAUGAGGUUUGCAGUUUUAUGCUGAUCUAGUCCAGUAAAUGGAUCGGGAACGGUUUGUGAUGCUUCACAUUCUUCAGCUUCUCUUCCAUCUUGACUUUAUCAAUGCAGUUUUUUGCAUCUGAAAUAGUGAGAAUGUCCAGAUGCUGAGUGCUGUGGGUGAGGAGGGAAUAGGGCAUUAAAAUAACCAGAAGUUAGUGAAAGGAGUGAGGGGCACUGUAGGGGUGGAAGGACCGGGGUGGUAACCGGCCGGCCGUGGCAUGUGCUGGGAGAGCUGGUGUUCCGUGUUGGUUACAGGAGUAAUUUGACACCGUGUUACCUACAGAAAUAUGUUUAUUCAGCCCGGGUGGUGCACUUGGUCUGUGCAGGCAUAUCCUGGUGUUUUUGGGG